CCUCUGGGCGUAGCAGUGGGGAAUAUUGCACAAUGGGGGAAACCCUGAUGCAGCAACGCCGCGUGAGUGAGGAAGUAUUUCGGUAUGUAAAGCUCUAUCAGCAGGGAAUAGAAAAGAAGGUACCUGAAAAAGAAGCCCCGGCUAACUACGUGCCAGCAGCCGCGGUAAUACGUAGGGGGCAAGCGUUAUCCGGAUUUACUGGGUGUAAAGGGGGCGCAGACGGCGAUGCAAGCCAGGAGUGAAAGCCCGGGGCCCAACCCCGGGACUGCUCUUGGAACUGCGUGGCUGGA
rnacentral:rRNA from 1 species